rnacentral:tRNA from 1 species
GCGGUUGUAGCUCAGUGGUAGAGCAUCUGGUUGCCAAUCAGAAGGCCACGGGUUCAAAUCCCGUCAACCGCUCCA